UGGAGACCUGCUCUGGUGUUGUGUGUUAAACUGUAUUCCUAAACAACAUCUAUAGUUUGAUUCACAGCACAAGAGUUUGCUCUCU
rnacentral:pre_miRNA from 1 species